rnacentral:rRNA from 1 species
AACGAACGCUGGCGGCAGGCUUAACACAUGCAAGCCGAGCGGGCCCUUCGGGGUCAGCGGCGGACGGGUUAGUAACGCGUGGGAACGUGCCCUUUGCUUCGGAAUAGCCCUGGGAAACUGGGGGUAAUACCGGAUGUGCCCUGAGGGGGAAAGAUGUAUCGGCAAGGGAUCGGCCCGCGUCUGAUUAGGUAGUUGGUGAGGUAACGGCUCACCAAGCCGACGGUCGGUAGCAGGUUGGAGAGGAUGCUCAGCAACACUGGGACUGAGACACGGCCCAGACUCCUACGUGAGGCAGCAGUGGUGAAUCUUAGACAAUGUGGGCAACCCUGAUCUGGCCGUGCCGCGUGGGUUAUGAAGGCCUUAGGGUCGUAAAGCCCUUUCGCCGGGGAAGAUAAUGACGGUACCCGGUAAAGAAACCCCGGCUAACUCCGUGCCAGCCGCCGCCGUAAUAC